rnacentral:rRNA from 1 species
CCUGGCGGCGAUAGCGCGGUGGUCCCACCUGACCCCAUGCCGAACUCAGAAGUGAAACGCCGUAGCGCCGAUGGUAGUGUGGGGUCUCCCCAUGUGAGAGUAGGGAACUACCAGGC